AGUUGGGUCUUGCGCAAUGGGAACUCAUGAACCCCGCCAGGUCCGGAAGGAAGCAACGGUAAGUGACAACUCUCAUGUGCCGCGAGGGUGCCUGAUUCUU
rnacentral:SRP_RNA from 1 species